AUGAACGCUGGCGGCGUGCCUAAUACAUGCCAGUCGAGCGAACAGACGAGGAGCUUGCUCCUCUGACGUUAGCGGCGGACGGGUGAGUAACACGUGGAUAACCUACCUAUAAGACUGGGAUAACUUCGGGAAACCGGAGCUAAUACCGGAUAAUAUAUUGAACCGCAUGGUUCAAUAGUGAAAGACGGUUUUGCUGUCACUUAUAGAUGGAUCCGCGCCGCAUUAGCUAGUUGGUAAGGUAACGGCUUACCAAGGCAACGAUGCGUAGCCGACCUGAGAGGGUGAUCGGCCACACUGGAACUGAGACACGGUCCAGACUCCUACGGGAGGCAGCAGUAGGGAAUCUUCCGCAAUGGGCGAAAGCCUGACGGAGCAACGCCGCGUGAGUGAUGAAGGUCUUCGGAUCGGAAAACUCUGUUAUUAGGGAAGAACAAAUGUGUAAGUAACUAUGCACGUCUUGACGGGACCUAAUCAGAAAGCCACGGCUAACUACG
rnacentral:rRNA from 1 species